AUGGGCACGCCAUGUACGGACAAGGACAAAGAUUUGUUUGCGGCUGCCACUACAGUCACGGUUGGCAAUGGGCGUACGACCAGAUUUUGGAACUCCUCUUGGCUGAAUGGUUUGCGCCCGCGUGAUAUUGCACCUCACAUCUUUGAGCUAUCCGAAAAGAAAAACUGCUCGGUCCAACAAGCUUUAACAAACAACACUUGGAUCUCUCACAUCGACAUCUCCAAUGGCCUAACCAUCAACCAUGUUCAACAGUUUGCCAAUCUUUGGGAAAAUGUUGCUCAGGUCACACUUGCUGAGGAUAUGGAGGAUUCCAUUAUCUGGAAGACCAAGGAUGGUUUGUACUCUGGCUCCUCGGCUUAUAAGGCGCAAUUUGAAGGCCUUACUACGUCGGACAUGGUUCAGUCGGUGUGGAAGGUGUGGGCUCCUCCGCGGUGCAAAUUUUUUGCUUGGCUUGCCCUUCAAAACAGGAUUUGGACAUCAGAUCGCCUUCUUCGUCGUGGAUGGCCCAACUGCGGUCUUUGCCCCCUUUACAAGCAAAGUAAGGAAUCGGCGGCCGACCUACUGUUCCAAUGUCGUUUCACCCUUUGUGUGUGGAAUGAUAUUAUCUAG
rnacentral:rRNA from 1 species